GCACUGUUUCGGCAAGGGGGUCAUCCCGACUUACCAACCCGAUGCAAACUGCGAAUACCGGAGAAUGUUAUCACGGGAGACACACGGCGGGUGCUAACGUCCGUCGUGAAGAGGGAAACAACCCAGACCGCCAGCUAAGGUCCCAAAGUCAUGGUUAAGUGGGAAACGAUGUGGGAAGGCCCAGACAGCCAGGAUGUUGGCUUAGAAGCAGCCAUCAUUUAAAGAAAGCGUAAUAGCUCACUGGUCGAGUCGGCCUGCGCGGAAGAUGUAACGGGGCUAAACCAUG
rnacentral:rRNA from 1 species